rnacentral:rRNA from 1 species
AGAGUUUGAUCCUGGCUCAGGAUGAACGCUAGCGGCAGGCUUAACACAUGCAAGUCGAACGGCAGCAAGGGUAGCAAUACCUGUUGGCGAGUGGCAAACGGGUGCGGAACACGUACGCAACAUACCCUUGUCUGGGGCAUAGCCUUCUGAAAAGGAGAUUAACACCCCAUAAGAUAAUGGAGUGGCAUCACUCAGUUAUAAAAAAUUCAUUGGACAGGGAUUGGCGUGCGUCCUAUUAGCUAGUUGGUAAGGGUAACGGCCUACCAAGGCGACGAUAGGUAGCUGGUGUGAGAGCACGACCAGCCACACGGGCACUGAGACACGGGCCCGACUCCUACGGGAGGCAGCAGUGAGGAAUAUUGGUCAAUGGACGCAAGUCUGAACCAGCCAUGCCGCGUGAAGGAUGAAGGCGUUCUGCGUUGUAAACUUCUUUUGCGGGGGAAGAAACCUCUCUUUUCUAAGAGAGCCGACGGUACCCCGAGAAUAAGCACCGGCUAACUCCGUGCCAGCAGCCGCGGUAAUACGGAGGGUGCAAGCGUUAUCCGGAUUUACUGGGUUUAAAGGGUGUGUAGGCGGACUUUUAAGUCAGCGGUGAAAUCUCCGGGCUCAACCCGGAAACUGCCAUUGAUACUAUUUGUCUUGAAUGUUGUUGAGGUGGGCGGAACGGGUCAUGUAGCGGUGAAAUGCGUAGAUAUGACCCGGAACACCGAUUGCGAAGGCAGCCCACUAAGCAACGAUUGACGCUGAGGCACGAAAGCGUGGGGAUCAAACA